AGGUUAAGCUAUGGGUUGCUAUCCUUGGCCUAUUAAUUAUUCUGUUACAAAACAAAUUGCUGCCAUUUGUAUUUUCUUCCAGCAAACCUGUUGCCAGUCUGACUCAUGAUCCAUCAUCUGAUCUGUUAGCGUUGUGUGGAAACAGAUGGUGCUGGAGUCAACACUGGAUUUCCAAAAGGCCUGACGGAGAUCCACUCAGGACUUACAGUUCUCCUCUCCACACUCUUGAGUACAAAUUACUGAAAAAAUGGCCCACGACACACCAAACAAUUCACUUGAUUCGUACCUCCCAUGCCUGGGAGGAUUAGUUCCAGGAUGAGGAAGACAUUCGAUUUUAGCUAUGUUACUUGGAGAUUCUUUUCCCUUGGGGCUUCGAUUGAUGCAUGGAAAUGUGCAUACCUCAAUGCAUUGCAUCCGCAGUUGUUCUGACUGAACAUGCUUGCAAGUGGAUGAAAACUGUGCGUGCACAACAUGGGAGUUCCAGGAGUGAAAAUGUGCAAAUAUGGCAGUUCUGGGUUGACAUUUUCUGUGUGAACUCUUCCUGACUCCCUUUCAAAAUGUCACUGUGCCGAGACCCACGGUGAACGUGUGAAUGGACACACUUCAAAGACAACAAAUCUACACCGGCUCUCCAAAGUACUCAUUCUUGUUCAACUUGAAUAAUGCAACAGCCGAAUGACGAAAUGAUUUUGUACAAUCUUUACACAGUUUGACAAAUCUGACCUUGCUUUUUGCAUCACCUCGCAUUGCUUGGUGCGAACUUCUCCUUGUUUUAUGUCCCAAGUCUUUUUGCACUGAAACGCUUUCCCCUCUUGCUGCAACACAAUAGUUUUCCGGAUGAAUAUUCAUAAGAGAACAAGUAGGUUAGGAGCGAUCCACAGGUUAAUAAGGGACGGGAAAUUGCUCAUUACAUGCUGUGAUGUUGGGAUAAUGCCUGAAGCAGAUGCCGAGAUCAAAAUCCAUGAACAUGUAUGCACGGACCUCCAGACGCCGGUCCCUGUCUCACAUUAGGAUGGGGGAGUUCAAAGCUAUCAGGGGUGUUAUGUCAUUAUCAGGCCUUUCAUAGCGCAUUUCCUCAGAACAUCAAAGUAAACACAUUUCACUCUGCAUUCAACAAUAAGGAUCAGGACUCAGUUCUCAGGAGGGAAACAUUGAAGCAGAUUUACUCCUGGUGGCAUGUGACAGUCGCAACAGAAUGGCACUGAUUUGUUUAGGACACUAGAUAACUUCUUGGAACUGUCAAACAUAUUUAAAACAUUUGUAAUUGAGUAAAUUGAAGGGUCAGUAAUUAAUUGCAUUUUAAUCAAAAAACAUAUUUGUUAAAUAAGAAAUGCUUUUUGGUGCUAAAUUAUAUAAUAAAUCUACACAGGAACUCAGAUAUUUAUAGUUUUUAUUCUGUUAUCUAGGUUAUUCAGCGAUCAGAUUGGCACAAAGUGCCAUUGCAUCUAUAGCUUUCAAUUUUAACCAACCUGUGAUUAUUUCUUUAGAUAUGUGAACUAUAGAUGCUGACAUUAGCAAUGGGGAUGUCUCAGUUUUAAAUAACAUUGUUUUAUAUCUUGGUUAUUUUACUGUAUUUAAUGUUCAUCUUUCAUUAAAAGUGACUGUCAAAGGUC